rnacentral:sRNA from 1 species
UUUGUGCAAUUAUUAAUUUCUGAUAUUGAUGGACCAUAUAUUUACAUAGGACUUUCAAAAAAAUUAUUAUCUAAUUAAUUUAUCGAUUUAUGUCAUUUUUUAUACUACUCCCAACUCGGGACCGGAAGAAUUUAUUAAUUUAUAGAGGUUAUUAAUUUAUCGAGUAUAAAUUUAUAAAAUAAAAAGAAA